AUGAUCAUGUUUAACCAACUGUUUGGUGAGGCAGAUCCAGAUGAAGAUGUGUCACCAGACUCUGCAGACCCAGAGCAAGUGGGAGAUGCAGGGCAGUCGGCCAUGGAAGCAGAUGCCAACGAUGCUGGCAAUGUUUCCAGAGUCUCCACCAGGGCAUGGGCAUCUUCACACAAUUAUGAUGCAAAGAAACUCUUCGGAAAACUUUUUGAUGAUGAUAUCAAGUACCUCCUCUCUAUGGACAAAUUAUGGGAAAAGCGAAGACGGCCGACACCAUUGAAUUGGGAGAAUAUGCCAGAAGCAGAUGUUAUUGAAGAUGGAGAAGGUUUGAUUCAGGACCAACGCCCAUGGACCAUAACUCAGUGCCGAGACGUAAUGGCUUCUGCAGUUGCAAGUCUUCACAAACGUCUUGCAGGACUUCCUGAAGGUGACGACCUGGUUUGGGACAAGGAUGACAAGGACAGUAUGGACUUCGUUACUGCAUGUGCAAAUAUCCGGGCUCACAUUUUUGGGAUUCCACAAAAGACCAGAUUUGAUGUUAAAUCAAUGGCUGGAAAUAUUAUCCCUGCAAUUGCCACCACAAAUGCAAUUAUUGCGGGUCUUAUUGUUUUAGAAGCUAUGAAGAUCCUACAGGGAAGGUUCAAAGACUGUAAAACUGUUUACCUAAAUAGGAGACCAAAUCCCAAGAAACGCCUCCUGGUACCCUGUGUUUUAGACAAGCCUAAUCCUAAAUGUUACGUGUUCUGCCUGAAGUUUCGGUCCGAUUGAAUGUAGAAAAGGUCACAGUCAAAGUUUUGGAAGACCGGAUAUUGAAGUCAGCCCUCAACAUGAUUGCACCAGAUGUUGAGCUGUGUGAUGGCAAGGGCACCAUCCUCAUUUCAUCAGAGGAGGGAGAAACAGAGGCAAAUAAUGAUAAGCUAUUAAAGGACUUCGGCAUUCAAGAAGGGACAAGAUUGAACUGCGAUGAUUUUCUUCAAAAUUAUACUCUUGUGGUUAAUGUAAUUCACAGUGAGAAGCUAGAGGAAGGUGCUGAAUUUGAAGUUAUUGGUGAUCCUGAUGAAUUGAAAAAAGCCCAAGAAGAAAAGGCAAAAGAGGAUGGUGUUGGAGAGACCUCGGCUGCAGCAAACAAUGUUCCAGCAUCUACCACAGCAGCAUCAGAUGAUGAGUUGGUGUGCCUGGAUGAUGAUUAUGUCAAGAAGAGGAAGGCUGAGGAUGACUUACAGAAUCCAACCAAGAAGAUGCGACCUGGCCCAGUGGAUGACGACGAUGAUUUGAUAAUAUUGUAGAUGACUUCAUAAGGAUGGAUGUUGUGUUUACAAUUAGCAUUUCCUCUCCAUUUACAAAUGGAGUUUAUAGAAAGUGAGCCAUUGAGUAAUUUUAUAUUUGAACCUAGUGAUAGCAAAGUGUACCCUUUGAUUUUGUAUGUAAUAAUAAUAAUGAUAAUA